rnacentral:lncRNA from 1 species
CGCGCCCUUGGGGGCUAGCGUUUGGCCGGAGCUACACACUCUUUACUCACGCACGCACACCGCCGUACACAGCACAAUCGUUCACCGUCCCGCCAAAGGCUCGUCUCUCGGGUUCUGCCUAGUGGAAGGAGUCGGACAACGCCGCACGUCACGGGCGUUUCGGAUUUCUUGCUUCCCAAAGGUUUGACGGCGGCCACCGGCGCCCCGGCCCAGCUCUGCUUUCCUUUGCUGACUCCUUCCUUUAGGUGUGAAUUUUAAAAUGCUGAUACCGCCCCAAGAGAGCUGAGUCAAGUGAGGCAAACGUUCGCCUGUUGUUCUCCUGACAGACUCCCUGCAGUGGGCAGGGGAAAUGUGGCCUUGGCCGACAUUAAUGAAGUGCCAGGAUGGAGGGAGGGGGCCUGCUGAUUUGUUCUGUUUUACUUUUUAAGGGUAACUAGAGCGUUACUGGAGUCGUCUGUGGGUUUGGGGAGUAUGUGGCGCGUGUGUGUGUCACACAUUUCACUGGCAACUCCCGCCAACCCCUUCCCAAGAAAUGAAGGCUCUAAUGUGGGCAGUUCUGCAACAAAGGUGAAACUUCCCCAAAUCACGAUUCCCCGCAAGAUGAGAGAGCAGGUGCAGCAUCCAUUUUCCCACUAUCACGCUUGAGAUGGUGGCUUUGGGCACUGCCGGGUGCCCCGACAUCCUUCCCAGAGCCCAGCCUUCCCACCCAGGCCCGGCCCUGCGCGGCCGCCUGCCUUUGCAUCAGAGACCGCGGCUGUGCCAUUGCCAAGGUGGGCAGCGCCGCCUCGCUUCCCCAUUCCUCCGUCUCCCACGCCUCUUGCGUGUUUGAGUCGCGAAGUGAUGGACUUUAAAUCUCAGAGGAGGAAUGAGAAACUUGGUUAGUGGCUCUCUUGGCAUGUUCGUAGCCCUGUGGUUGAAGUGGCUGAAACCUGCGUUGAGCCUCAGUCCAAGCAGCUGGGGCCACACCAGUUUGCAAAAGCGGAUGUGGCAGUUUCCACCGCAGCAGCAGCCUGCUGGCGCCUCAUCAGAUUCUCCUUUGGAGGAAGUAUCUUCUUCCCUUCAUUCUCGGUGAAUGGCAUCCAGAGAUAACCAAAAUCAGGUGUAUCUAGUUUCAAGUUCUGUCUUGCAACCGUGAUAAUUGGAGGAUGCAAACUUUACACUUUCUUCUCUAGCUGUCUACCACCACUGCUGCGCUUGUGGAUGACUGCAGGAACACCGGGUACUUGCCACAAGUAUCUCUCCAGAUUCAUCAGCCUUUCACCUGUGACAAGCUCAGUCAAGAAGUGGCUCCUAAGUAAAAGCUGGGGAAGAACAAGGAAGAUAGAGCUCAGAGUAGAAAGCUGUGAAGUUCUGCACAACAGGUCCCCUUGGCCUGCUCUAACAGUUGGAAGGCAUGGUAGCUCAUGUGGAAGCUUCCCGAGGCCCUCACCCAGAAGCAGAUGCUGGAGCCAUGCUUGUACAGCUUGCAGAACUAAAGCCCAGCUGGCUUGGUUCCAUGAAUCUUUGCCCUUCUUUCCAUCCACUUCUUCCUGCUUGGACAUUGGUUACCUGGAGAAGCAGAAGCCAUUUUAAGAUGAUGAAAGCAAAAGUUAAAUGUAUGAGAUGAUGGUGCAGAAAGCCAAAAGGGGCCUCCAGAACACUGAGCUUUGUGGAGUCGUGUACCAUAGCUGUAUUGCCGACCUCUGAACUUCCUGCUGAGAUAAAAAACAAUCCUUAUGUGUUUAUACUACUUUUAUUUCAGUUUCUUUUAAGUAUAGCAAACACAUUCCAAAUAAUAUGCAUCUGAAGUUUUUGGUUUUGUUUUUAAAUUUUUUUUUUAGGGAUGGGUUCUGGCUGCGUAGUGGCUAGAGUGUAGUGGCUA